GCCAUACAUAACUGGGUCAAGGACUUUAUUUUACUCUAUUUUAAACUUUAUUUUAGGGCUACGCAGUUGCACUGAUCACAACUAUGGAUAUAAACAUGCUGCUCCUGUUUCUAUUGCUGCUGCUCUUUGGUUCUCAGGCUAACCAUUUCUUUGGGACAGUGAUGACUUUUACCCCCAAAGACAAGACACAUAAUGGCUCUCUCAUGGUGGUCUUUCACUACAAGCUGAGCUUUCGCUCAUGCACCGAUCAAGACACGUGGAGCUGUGUCAGCGGUGACUGUGGUACAGAAAGUGUGGAGCUGAGCAUUGUGGAUGAGGAGGACAAAGAGUGGUGUCAGAGGGAAGGAGUCAUGUCUCGGGAAGUUUCCAGCAAUGCUGUGUUUCAGCUACGAUUGGAUGGCGGUGACUGGAUUCAAACCAAAAACAAGGUGAAGAAAUGGAGAGCUCUGACUAAUGUGGACCUGAGGACUCGUCUCGACACUAAUCAGCCAAACAAGUCACCUCAGACCACCAUCCUGCCAGCCCUGCGAGUCCCUUCAAACUGUCAAAGAGUCUUCACCCUGUCGGCCUUUGACCCUGAUGGAGACAAGGUUAAAUGCAGAUUUGGAGACAUAGACGCAGAUGAGUGUAAUCCUUGUACACCACCGUCUGUUCUGACCAUCUCACAAUGGACUCUCCUGCACCAUCAUGCUCAGAGGGAGUCUACCUGCCCAGGGUUUUAAAGCUUUUGUUCAGUGGACCGCACAAUGUUGUAAAACACAAUGAAUCACAUGGAGAAUUUAUCCUGACUUGGACGCCAUCUGAGAAUCAAGAUGGAGAAGAUCAUCCCGUCUGCUUCUUAGUCCAGGCAGAGAAAGGAACCAGUCAUCACAACAUCUAUGCCAACAACCGUUCUGCUUUCAACUACUCCAGCGAGCACGACUACUGUAACCAAAACAGAAACACUGAGCAUAUCAACUAUGGUGGCAGAUGAGCCCAAAGCAUCAGGUGAUGACAGCAGUCGUGCUGGCAAAAUUGCUGGUGCUGUGUGUGGGGCUGUAGGUGUUGCAGCGACCGUUGGCAUUGUGGUCUGGGUGGUGAGAGGAAGUCCACACGCGUUCUAUAAAGUAGUCUAAUGGAAGAAGAAAGAGAUUAAGGAAAAACAAAACUGGCUAUAAAAUCUAGAGAACUUGGGAAAAGGAUAUCACAAACGUUGUUACUGCACAUUUUUUUUCUGAGUAAAUAAUCACAUUUCUACUUAUGUAUAUACUAUAUGAUAUAGAUGCAUAUUGUUUACUGAUGAAGAAUCGCACCAUCGUGUCAAUCUCCAGUGUACUGAUAUUAGUCUUUGGCUCUAUCUGGUGGUGGAAUGAUGGCAUGACAUACAUGUACAGAGUUGUAAAUAAAAGCUACAGAGAGCAGCUUUUAGAUGUGUGUAUUUCAUCCUUUAACAUCUUACAGACUUAAAUGUAAAAUACAAAUGAGGCAGGUUUAAUAUGUACAGAGAAAAUGGUUGGAAGUAAGG
ensembl:lncRNA